CAAGCCUCCUGUGCACAAGGGCAGCUCGGGGUAACUGGAUUACAGGCAUGUGCGGGCUCUGCCUUUACAGACCUCACCAGACUUUUAUAGCUCUCUCCAGCUUGGAACUUCUUAGUUUUAUGCUCCAAUAAGAUAUACCAAGUUCUUUUCAAUCUCUCUGCCUGCUCUCCUCCACUGUGCUUAGGCAAAUGAGGACUUGGGCCCAUGGCCUGCCUCCACCAACUAUACCUGCCUCCAUGAUUUCCUCCAAGAAGAAAUGAAAAUCUUAUGGAUCCAGGAGUCAUUACUAGGCAUCUGCAACACCACCAAUGCAAGGCCUGUGAGGGCAGAGAGAGGGACGGCACAGGAGUGCCCUGGCCUGGACAAGCACACCCUGCAGUCCCAGAAGAACGGGGCAGAUGGGGAAGGCGGUUGAUCCUGACUGGCCAAAAGAUCUGACCAACUCAGGGUAAAAUUCACAUAAUUCUGUUGCCUUCCUCUUAUCGUUUUGGCCACUUGCUGUGGCUUGAAAAGUGAAUUCUGCAGGGCCUGCCCGCCUGGAGAGCUCCCCCAGUGCGAGGCAACCCUGAGGCUACAGAGAGGCAGCCACUUACGAUGGAUCUGAAAAGAGGCUGUAAAACUGGACAGCUGAACCCCAUACAAAGAGCGGGCCUGUCCCAUGUUAAGCCUUGAAGUUGCAGGACUUCCAUCAAUGCACGCUUCAGUGUCCCCUCCUCUGCGACAAUGUCACAGCCUACAUCUGGUAGGCAGACCCUUCUACUGGCCUCUUCCUCCAGCCCCUGUGCCCUCAUCACUUCCUGAGCCUCUGCAGAGGAGGCGGCCUCCUCCUUUCGGACACAGCCCAGACUCAGCAUCCUUUACAGCAGGCAGGGGACUGGAAGAGCAGUCUCGCUGUGGGGAGAGCAUACACACUGAGGGAGCCCCAUGCUGUAUGGAAAGGGGAGGUGUUGUGGUGGGAAAAGGGGGAACAACAGCCAGCUAACACUUAUUAGGGUGCUUCCCUCACUCCUCUAAAACCCUCCUUAUUUGGUGUCUGUAGUUAGAGCCUGAGAAAGGGAUUCUUGUGCACUUACUUAAUGGCUUACUGUGGUUUCUCCUGAGCGCUUGCAGAAAGGGGUGUUGGCUGGGGACCGGCCAACUGCGCCUGGUCCCAGGAGAGCUCUAGGGUGUGAACUGCACCACAGGUGGUCCCACUUUGAGGCAAGAGGCAGACUCUGUGCUCCCCUGGGUGUCAGUCCUUGGCUGUUGGCUGGUAAUGGGGGCGGGGGGGGGGGGAGGGGGGCAAGUGUCAGCUGUGAGCUGUGGCAGCCAGUACAGUAUCCACUACAUGUAGUUUCCACUAGUCUUUCCAGUCUCCCCUCUGCUAGCUCUUGCUCCUCUGACCUCUGCCGGCAAGUGCCAGGGCUCAGCUGCGACCCUUCUCUCUACCCUGACUUCCUACUGAUCCAGUCUCAUCUUUAGAUCCAAACACUGAAGACCUCCAAAUUCUUACCUUCAAUACCUUACUCCACAUCCUAUCUGAGAUCCCUACUUGCAUGCCUAAAAGACAACACAAACUUAGCACAUCCCUAAUGGUUCUCUGGACUGGUUUUCCUGUAAGGCUGCUCCUCCUCAGUGCUCUCCACUAAUGUGAACAACCCCCAUCUGCUGCAUGAGUCCUAGAGAGCAAAGCAGACUCCCUUCCCUGCCCCUCAGGCUCCUCAGCUAUUGCGGGGGAGGGGGCUGUCUGGGCAGAGACAUGGUGCUGAUCCCCAGGAUAAGGCAAGUCUCACAUACUGCUCACAUCCCCUAUGUGGUGGGGAAGUAAUAAACUGAUGAAAAACUCAGUGCCAAA